GACGAACGCUGGCGGCGUGCUUAACACAUGCAAGUCGAACGCUGAAGCUCAGCUUUUGUUGGGUGGAUGAGUGGCGAACGGGUGAGUAACACGUGAGUAACCUGCCCCCUUCUUUGGGAUAACGCCCGGAAACGGGUGCUAAUACUGGAUAUUCACUGGUCUUCGCAUGGGGGUUGGUGGAAAGGGUUUUUCUGGUGGGGGAUGGGCUAGCGGCCUAUCAGCUUGUUGGUGGGGUGAUGGCCUACCAAGGCUUUGACGGGUAGCCGGCCUGAGAGGGUGACCGGUCACAUUGGGACUGAGAUACGGCCCAGACUCCUACGGGAGGCAGCAGGGGGGAAUAUUGCAGGAUGGGCGGAAGCCUGAUGCAGCGACGCCGCGUGAGGGAUGGAGGCCUUCGGGUUGUGAACCUCUUUCGCUCAUGGUCAAGCCGCAACAAUGGUUGUAGUGAGGGUAGUGGGUAAAGAAGCGCCGGCUAACUACGUG
rnacentral:rRNA from 1 species